AAAGGAAGAUUAAUACAAGAUGGCAUCAUGAGUUCACAUGUUCACAUGAUUAAAGGUAUUCCGGUAGACGAUGGGGAUGCGUUCCAUUAGAUAGUAGGCGGGGUAACGGCCCACCUAGUCUUCGAUGGAUAGGGGUUCUGAGAGGAAGGUCCCCCACAUUGGAACUGAGACACGGUCCAAACUCCUACGGGAGGCAGCAGUGAGGAAUAUUGGUCAAUGGGCGCAGGCCUGAACCAGCCAAGUAGCGUGAAGGAUGACUGCCCUAUGGGUUGUAAACUUCUUUUAUAAAGGAAUAAAGUCGGGUAUGUAUACCCGUUUGCAUGUACUUUAUGAAUAAGGAUCGGCUAACUCCGUGCCAGCAGCCGCGGUAAUACGGAGGAUCCGAGCGUUAUCCGGAUUUAUUGGGUUUAAAGGGAGCGUAGAUGGAUGUUUAAGUCAGUUGUGAAAGUUUGCGGCUCAACCGUAAAAUUGCAGUUGAUACUGGAUAUCUUGAGUGCAGUUGAGGCAGGCGGAAUUCGUGGUGUAGCGGUGAAAUGCUUAGAUAUCACGAAGAACUCCGAUUGCGAAGGCAGCCUGCUAAGCUGCAACUGACAUUGAGGCUCGAAAGUGUGGGUAUCAAACAGGAUUAGAUACCCUGGUAGUCCACACGGUAAACGAUGAAUACUCGCUGUUUGCGAUAUACGGCAAGCG
rnacentral:rRNA from 1 species